GGAUAACAUUCCGGAAACGGAUGCUAAAACCGCAGGGUCCUUUAACCGCAUGGUUGAAGGAGGAAAAGAGGCGCAAGCUUCUCUGAUGGAUGGACCCCGGUGCAUUAGCUAGUUGGUGAGGUAACGGCUCACCAAGGCCGUGAUGCAUAGCCGACCUGAGAGGGUGAUCGCCACAUUGGGACUGAGACACGGCCCAAACUCCUCGGGAGGCAGCAGUAGGGAAUCUUCCGCAAUGGACGCAAGUCUGACGGAGCAACGCCGCGUGAGUGAAGAAGGUUUUCGGAUCGUAAAACUCUGUUGUUAGAGAAGAACAAGC
rnacentral:rRNA from 1 species